rnacentral:rRNA from 1 species
GACGAACGCUGGCGGCGUGCUUAACACAUGCAAGUCGAACGGAAAGGCCUGCUUUCCCUUGUGGAUUGCGGGUACUCGAGUGGCGAACGGGUGAGUAACACGUGAGUGAUCUGCCCCCAACUUGGGUAUAAGCCUGGGAAACUGGGUCUAAUUCCCGAUAGGACUGCAGGGUGGUGCCUGUGGUGGAAAACGAUUUUCUAGUGGUUGGGGAUGAGCUCGCGGCCUAUCAGCUUGUUGGUGGGGUAAUGGCCUACCAAGGCGGCGACGGGUAGCCGGCCUGAGAGGGUGGACGGCCACAGUGGGACUGGGAUACGGCCCAGACUCCUACGGGAGGCAGCAGUGGGGAAUAAUGGACAAUGGGCGGAAGCCUGAUGCAGCGACGCCGCGUGGGGGAUGACGGCCUUCGGGUUGUAAACUCCUUUCGACCGCGAGGAAGCCACCUGGUUGGAAGGGUGGUGACGGUAGUGGUAGAAGAAGCACCGGCUAACUACGUG